GAUGAACGCUGGCGGCGUGCUUAGCACAUGCAAGUCGAGCGAGAAGUUUUGAAAAGAUUCUUCGGAUGAAAUUUAAAAUGGAAAGCGGCGGACGGGUGAGUAACGCGUAGGCAACCUGCCCCAUACAAAGGGAUAGCAUUUGGAAACGAAUAUUAAUACCUUAUGAAACUUAACUAGUGCAUGCUAGGUAGGUCAAAGAUUUAUCGGUAUGGGAUGGGCCUGCGUCUGAUUAGCUAGUUGGUGAGGUAACGGCUCACCAAGGCGACGAUCAGUAGCCGACCUGAGAGGGUGAACGGCCACAUUGGAACUGAGACACGGUCCAAACUCCUACGGGAGGCAGCAGUGGGGAAUAUUGCACAAUGGGGGAAACCCUGAUGCAGCAACGCCGCGUGAACGAUGAAGGCCUUUGGGUCGUAAAGUUCUGUUCUAGGUGAUGAAAACUGACAGUAACCUAGGAGAAAGCCCCGGCUAACUCCGUG
rnacentral:rRNA from 1 species